GACCAGACAGACUCGGAAAACAAAUCCCCCUCAUUGUUUUCAUCACAAUCAGGAUUUCAAGUACCCUUGUAGAGGGUCACGUGAUUGCCCGAAAAACACAAGGCGCUAUAUCUCGGAAACGAAAGCAGCACAAACGUUACUUACAGCGACACAAACCGGCACAAAUACUGCACUAACGAUUGCGGUGGGUUUCGUCGUUUGUGCUGUUCGACGGGCGGGUGGGCAACUUCAUAGAGCAGGGCAAGCAAAGAGGUUUGGGUCAUUACACUGCAGACUGCAGAAGACUCGACUUCUCCCGAGGAUCUAACACAGGCGCCCACACCUGUGUCUUCAGAGGGCAGGUGUGCCCUCCCGCUGUAUUCUACACCAAGGACCGGCCGGAAACACAAAGAUAAGAGGACUGUGAGCUCAUCGCUUCAUGUUAGCGUAUAAGACCACUAUCUAUCAAAAUGCAGCAGAAUUGAACUUUAAUUCUCUAAAGUCCUGCACAGAGAAGACUACAAGGGGACUUGACACAAGCAUUCAAAGUCCUGACAGGCUCUGAGAAAGUCAACCCAGAGAACUUCUCCAGAAUCAGCAGUGAAAGAUAACAAACAAGACUUCAAUGUCCCACAGGUCCUCAAACAAAAGACCCUGAGAAGAAACAAACACCCUUCCAUUUGCCUACCUGAAAAUGUGAUUUCCUUCCAGAAGGAAGAAGAAGCUACAGUCAGGAUCACAGUGGGUAGAGGUUUCUUAAAACUUUAAAGCCCAAAUCUACUCCCUCUCAAAACCCUGCCCCAUAUUUUUCACACUAAUAAUGAUGGCAGCAGAAUGGAUUCCGACAUUUACAGAAACAUUUGUUCUGCUUAUGUAGAGUUGAAAAUAUGUGAAUGUAUGAAAAUCAUUCCAUGCUUAUUGACUGAUGCUGCUCCAUGCAGUAUUACAGAGACCUGAAACACAGAGCUAAUGCAUGCAAGAGGUUUAUCGGGGUAGAAAAAUUGAAAACCUUUGACUGGACAACAAUUUUACAGGCAUAAAUAAAAAAAAAAGUCUGAACACCGAAAGGACAGGCAAGAACUCAAAGGAGCUCCAAUGAUUAUUAUACAUUACAAAGACUUUGGUGAUAUCAACUGGUCUUGGUCCUCAUGCAGUCCCAUUUUGAGAGGUCAGUGAAUACAGGUUUGUAAUGUACAAUGUCCCGGUUUUGUAAAUAAUUUGUAGAUAAUUGUUGGGAUAUCUUGGAUUAUGUGUUUAGUCUGUUGUUACCCUAAAUAAAUCUU